UACGGAGGGGGCUAGCGUUGUUCGGAAUUACUGGGCGUAAAGCGCGCGUAGGCGGACCUGCAAGUCGGGGGUGAAAGCCCGAGGCUCAACCUCGGAACUGCCUUCGAUACUGCGGGUCUCGAGUCCGGGAGAGGUGAGUGGAAUUCCUAGUGUAGAGGUGAAAUGCGCAGAUAUCAGGAAGAACACCCGUGGCGAAGGCGGUUCUCUGGGACGGUACUGACGCUGAGACGCGAAAGCGUGGGGAGCGAACAGG
rnacentral:rRNA from 1 species